rnacentral:rRNA from 1 species
UGGGGAAUUUUGGACAAUGGGGGAAACCCUGAUCCAGCCAUCCCGCGUGUGCGAUGAAGGCCUUCGGGUUGUAAAGCACUUUUGGCAGGAAAGAAACGUCGCGGGUUAAUACCCCGCGAAACUGACGGUACCUGCAGAAUAAGCACCGGCUAACUACGUGCCAGCAGCCGCGGUAAUACGUAGGGUGCAAGCGUUAAUCGGAAUUACUGGGCGUAAAGCGUGCGCAGGCGGUUCGGAAAGAAAGAUGUGAAAUCCCAGAGCUUAACUUUGGAACUGCAUUUUUUAACUACCGGGCUAGAGUGUGUCAGAGGGAGGUGGAAUUCCGCGUGUAGCAGUGAAAUGCGUAGAUAUGCGGAGGAACACCGAUGGCGAAGGCAGCCUCCUGGGAUAACACUGACGCUCAUGCACGAAAGCGUGGGGAGCAAACAGGAUUAGAUACCCUGGUAGUCCACGCCCUAAACGAUGUCAACUAGCUGUUGGGGCCUUCGGGCCUUGGUAGCGCAGCUAACGCGUGAAGUUGACCGCCUGGGGAGUACGGUCGCAAGAUUAAAACUCAAAUGAAUUGAC